rnacentral:rRNA from 1 species
AUUGAACGCUGGCGGCAGGCCUAACACAUGCAAGUCGAGCGGAGCGGCGGACGGGUGAGUAAUGCCUAGGAAUCUGCCUGGUCGUGGGGGAUAACGUCCGGAAAGGGGCGCUAAUACCGCAUACUAUCAGAUGAGCCUAGGUCGGAUUAGCUAGUUGGUGGGGUAAAGGCCUACCCAGGCGACGAUCCCUAACUGGUCUGCGAGGUUGAUCAGUCACACUGGAACUGAGACACGGUCCAGACUCCUACGGGAGGCAGCAGGGGGGAAUAUUGGACAAUGGGCGAAAGCCUGAUGCAGCCAUGCCGCGUGUUUGAAGAAGGUCUUCGGGUUGUAAAGCACUUUAAGUUGGGAGGCGUUACCAACAGAAUAAGCACCGGCUAACUUCGUGCCAGCAGCCGCGGUAAUAC